UCGUAAAGGGUCCGUACUGCGGGUCGGCCAGUCAGUGGUGAAAUGCAGGGCUCAACUCCGGCACUGCCAUUGAUACUGCCGUUCUUGAAUUAUUGUGAAGUGGUUGGAAUAUGUAGUGUAGCGGUGAAAUGCUUAGAUAUUACAUAGAACACCGAUUGCGAAGGCAGAUCACUAACAAUAUAUUGACGCUGAUGGACGAAAGCGUGGGUAGCGAACAGGAUUAGAUAUCUUGGUAGUCCACGCCGUAAACGAUGGUUACUAGCUGUCCGGUACGAUUGAGUACUGGGUGGCCAAGCGAAAGUGAUAAGUAACCCACCUGGGGAGUACGUUCGCAAGAAUGAAACUCAAAGGAAUUGACGGGGGCCCGCACAAGCGGUGGGGCAUGUGGUUUAAUUCGAUGAUACGCGAGGAACCUUACCAGGGCUUAAAUGUAGUAUGACAGGACUGGAAACAGUUUUUUCUUCGGACAUAUUACAAAGGUGCUGCAUGGUUGUCGUCAGCUCGUGCCGUGAGGUGUCAGGUUAAGUCCUAUAACGAGCGCAACCCCUGUCGUUAGUUGCCAGCGGGUCAUGCCGGGAACUCUAACGAGACUGCCGGUGCAAACCGCGAGGAAGGUGGGGAUGACGUCAAAUCAUCACGGCCCUUACGUCCUGGGCCACACACGUGCUACAAUGGCAGGUACAGAGAGCAGCCACACCGCAAGGUGGAGCGAAUCUUCAAAACCUGUCUCAGUUCGGAUCGGGGUCUGCAACUCGACCCCGUGAAGCUGGAAUCGCUAGUAAUCGGAUAUCAGCCAUGAUCCGGUGAAUACGUUCCCGGGCCUUGUACACACCGCCCGUCAAGCCAUGGAAGCUGGGGGUACCUGAAGUCGGUCACCGCAAGGAGCUGCCUAGGGU
rnacentral:rRNA from 1 species